rnacentral:lncRNA from 1 species
CCAGAUACAAAUAUCACAAAUGAUUGUAUUACUUUACAUCACUGUGUAAAUAAACUAAUCAAAUGGAAACAGUCUCAUAUAGAAACUAAGUAAAUGUGUUUGGGGCAAGUUUCAGCUCAUAAAUUGAUAUAUGAUGUAUGUCUCACACCAACACUCUGAAGCAACUUCUUUCUCCCAGGCACUAAUGAUUAAAUGCUCAGUGGCUGCACUUGGCAAAUCAUUUUGUCUCAUGCAGCCCUCCAUCAAUUUUGUGUAAGAGGAAAAGCAAAAUUAGAAUUCAAUAUUAUGCCAUUGACAAAAUAAUAAGUAGAGACCCACCAAAAAUGUGAUUAAGGAACAAAGGUGUGAGCAACCCAAUUCUGAAGACAGUCAUCUCCACCACACAUAAGCCUAGUU